rnacentral:lncRNA from 1 species
CUUUGCUCUUCUUCUUCUUUCGUCUUUUUUUCUUGGCUGCUUCCUCAGCCGUAGAGGCAGCUCCUUCUUCCCUGUCGUCUGGAUCCAGGUCGCCAUUCAGGUGGCUCCCGGAGGCCGCUACCUCCUCCACACCCGCCAUGUUGCCCGAGAGAGCGCGAGGGAAUGAGACAGAGCGGCGAGGGCCCCGAUCCUUCUCCACCCGCCUACACCAGCCACGCCGGAAGCUGCUCUCGAUGGUAGGGACGCAGGGAAUGCUGGGACGGCGGAGGACUCAGCUGAGGGUGUCGGGCUAGCUUCGGGCCGGGCGUGCAGGAGUCUCGGCUUGGAGCCCCGCCUGGCUGGAGUCGACUGGGGCCAGACCCGACUGCUUCGUCCGGUGCCUCGGGCAUUCCCGAAGCAAAUCGGCAAGCGCAGGGUGAAGUUUAAAGGGGAAGUUGAGCUCUAGAGUCAGCCGGAGAUACCUGUGGAGACGGGCAACCCGCCGUAGCAAGCGGCGUCUCUGCUGGAACGGAAAUAUUUUAUAUUUGCGUUUUUAUAAAUCACACAGGCAGUGGGGAAACGGGCUAAGAAAUGUGUUCACUUGUACACAUUUCUAUUGUCAUGACUCCACAUAUCUCUUAAAUCUAAGAGAUUUAAUCAAAUCUGCGUUGACAUUCACAAUCACAGCUCUCCGCGAGGCUCUGUAGGCACUGGAGAGAAUUUUGGAAGCUGGAGUUCCGUGUUAGUUUAUUGUACUACUCAACCCCGGACGGUUCAAGAUGGGAACCCGUCACACUCCGCUCACUUUCCAAUUCAGGACAAGAAUGACAGGUUUUAACACACGGGGACACGGUCUCUCUCAUUAAUGCAAAAGAUCACACUCCGUUUUCUCUAUUUCUGGUCACCUUUCUUUUGGAUUUAGGACGUUUCACCAGAAACUAAUUGAAUUUUGCCCAUUUCUUUACUUCUUAUGUUUUGAGCCUCAUGUUCAAACCGCAGUUUGAGAUUUAGUUUGUGGCGUAAGUGGAUUGUGAUUGGCUGCCUGCACCAACUCCUUCUCAAUUUCUCCUGAAUAUGGCUUUGUCCACCUGGAGAGUUUAGGUGUUUUCAUUAGUUUUA